CACGUAGGGCGCAAGCGUUGUCCGGAAUUAUUGGGCGUAAAGAGCUCGUAGGCGGUCUGUUGCGUCCGCUGUGAAAACUCGGGGCUUAACCCCGAGCCUGCAGUGGAUACGGGCAGACUAGAGUUCGGUAGGGGAGACUGGAAUUCCCGGUGUAGCGGUGAAAUGCGCAGAUAUCGGGAGGAACACCGGUGGCGAAGGCGGUUCUCUGGGCCUUACCUGACGCUGAGGAGCGAAAGCGUGGGGAGCGAACAGG
rnacentral:rRNA from 1 species